GCCCGUGUGGUGUAGUGGCUGCAUUCCAUGAGGUGGGAAUUUAUAUAGGCGUUCCGGAUCAGCGUCCAGCGUCCACCGUUCGAAUUACAUGAAACCUAUAAAGAAAGAAAAAAAUGAUCCAAGCUUCCUAUCUCAUGGGGCCCAGGUUCGACCCCUGGUGCGGGCA